rfam:Citrus clementina cultivar Clemenules unplaced genomic scaffold scaffold_5, whole genome shotgun sequence.
CUCAGGAUGGCCGAGUGGUCUAAGGCGCCAGACUCAAGUCUGGUCUUCGAAAGAGGGCGUGGGUUCAAAUCCCACUUCUGACA